rnacentral:rRNA from 1 species
UACGUAGGGUGCAGGCGUUAAUCGGAAUUACUGGGCGUAAAGCGUGCGCAGGCGGUUUGCUAAGACAGGUGUGAAAUCCCCGGGCUUAACCUGGGAACUGCGCUUGUUACUGGCAGGCUUGAGUGUGGCAGAGGGGGUGGAAUUCCGCGUGUAGCAGUGAAAUGCGUAGAUAUGCGGAGGAACACCGAUGGCGGAGGCAGGUCUCUGGGCAUUAACUGACGCUGAGGAGCGAAAGCAUGGGGAGCGAACAGG